GUUUAAUAGAGGUCAAACCUUAUUCUUUUCCAUAGAAAAUUUCAGAGUUUAAAACUUAGUUCGGAUUUUUGGUUACAAGUAUAUUUCAUUAACUUCAUAUCAUUUAGGAUGGUUAUUUGUUAUGGUAAGCUUGAUGGAAGUGUGAACAACUCUGGUGUUGACAUUUCGGGAUGUGGUUUUGGGGAUGAUUAAGUCUUUGCACAAUGGAUGUUAAGAGCUAAACUAGUCGACCUUAUACACUCAUCUGUGUGUGAAAGAUCUUCCAUACACUGACAUCCAGG
rnacentral:misc_RNA from 1 species